UACGAAGGGAGCGAGCGUUGUUCGGAAUCACUGGGCAUAAAGAGCACGUAGGCGGCUUCGUAAGUCAGUUGUGAAAUCCUUCGGCUCAACCGGAGAAUUGCAUCUGAUACUGCGGGGCUAGAGUGCGGGAGGGGAGAGUGGAACUCCUGGUGGAGCGGUGAAAUGCGUAGAUAUCAGGAGGAACGCCGGUGGCGAAAGCGACUCUCUGGACCGUUACUGACGCUGAGGUGCGAAAGCUAGGGGAGCAAACAGG
rnacentral:misc_RNA from 1 species